rnacentral:rRNA from 1 species
GCAGUAGCCACGGUAAAACGGAGGGUGCAAGCGUUAAUCGGAAUUACUGGGCGUAAAGCGUGCGUAGGCGGUUCGUUAAGUCUGUUGUGAAAGCCCCGGGCUCAACCUGGGAAUGGCAAUGGAUACUGGCGAGCUAGAGUGUGUCAGAGGAUGGUGGAAUUCCCGGUGUAGCGGUGAAAUGCGUAGAGAUCGGGAGGAACAUCAGUGGCGAAGGCGGCCAUCUGGGACAACACUGACGCUGAGGCACGAAAGCGUGGGGAGCAAACAGGAUUAGAUACCCGAGUAGUCCCUGUCUCUUAUAA